rnacentral:lncRNA from 1 species
GGAAAACCACUGUACUGUGCCGCGGUCUGGCUGGGCACAAAUCACGAGCCACUCAAGCAGGAACAAACUUUAUUUCUGAACUCACGCGAACGCCACCCACUCGGUCUUCUCCGGGACACACCACACACCAACCGGAACUCCCUCCACCGGAACUCCACCCACCAACGCGAACUCCCCAGGAAUCCCAGGAGAACUCCAAAGUAGUGGGCAUCGAGGUGGACAGUAGAGGUCUAUAUACAAUUGAAUACACAGCCUGUUUCAAUCCAGCAUCAUCUCGUCACAGCAAUUAUAGACGGCUUAACUUAAUAUCAUCAUCUUAAUGGCUCGCCUCUCAACCAUUACUUCCGGCAAAACGCCAGUACUGUCUGGCACUGGAUUCUAUCCUCAGCCCCACAAACAAAUAA